rnacentral:rRNA from 1 species
UACGGAGGGAGCUAGCGUUGUUCGGAAUUACUGGGCGUAAAGCGCACGUAGGCGGCUUUGUAAGUUAGAGGUGAAAGCCUGGGGCUCAACCCCAGAAUUGCCUUUAAGACUGCAUCGCUUGAAUCCAGGAGAGGUGAGUGGAAUUCCGAGUGUAGAGGUGAAAUUCGUAGAUAUUCGGAAGAACACCAGUGGCGAAGGCGGCUCACUGGACUGGUAUUGACGCUGAGGUGCGAAAGCGUGGGGAGCGAUCCGG